UACGUAGGGUCCGAGCGUUAAUCGGAAUUACUGGGCGUAAAGCGUGCGCAGGCGGUCUUGUAAGCCAGAUGUGAAAUCCCCGGGCUUAACCUGGGAACUGCGUUUGAAACUACAAGGCUAGAGUGUGGCAGAGGGGGGUGGAAUUCCACGUGUAGCAGUGAAAUGCGUAGAGAUGUGGAGGAACACCGAUGGCGAAGGCAAUCCCCUGGGCCUGCACUGACGCUCAUGCACGAAAGCGUGGGGAGCAAACAGG
rnacentral:rRNA from 1 species